rnacentral:rRNA from 1 species
AGUCGAGCGGANCUUUCGGGGUCAGCGGCGGACGGGUGAGUAACACGUGGGCAAUCUGCCCGAUACUCUGGGAUAACGCUUGGAAACGAGUGCUAAUACCGGAUGGUCUUCUUGGCCGCAUGGCCGAGAAGGAAAAGACGCGUUCGCGUCGGUGUCGGAUGAGCCCGCGGCGCAUUAGCUAGUUGGUGAGGUAACGGCCCACCAAGGCGACGAUGCGUAGCCGACCUGAGAGGGUGACCGGCCACACUGGGACUGAGACACGGCCCAGACUCCUACGGGAGGCAGCAGUAGGGAAUCUUCCACAAUGGGCGAAAGCCUGAUGGAGCAACGCCGCGUGAGUGAUGAAGGCCUUCGGGUUGUAAAACUCUGUCAUUCGGGACGAACCGGAGUCUGAGGAAAUGCAGACUCUCUGACGGUACCGGAGGAGGAAGCCCCGGCUAACUACGUGCCAGCAGCCGCGGUAAUACGUAGGGGGCAAGCGUUGUCCGGAUUCACUGGGCGUAAAGCGCGCGCAGGCGGUGAUGUAAGUCUGAGGUGAAAACCCGAAGCUCAACUUCGGGACUGCCUUGGAUACUGCGUCACUUGAGGAUAGGAGAGGCAAGGGGAAUUCCACGUGUAGCGGUGAAAUGCGUAGAGAUGUGGAGGAACACCKGUGGCGAAGGCGCCUUGCUGGCCUAUUUCCGACGCUGAGGCGCGAAAGCGUGGGGGAGCAAACAGGAUUAGAUACCCUGGUAGUCCACGCUGUAAACGAUGAGUGCUAGGUGUAGGUGGGCUCAUACCCAUCUGUGCCGAAGCUAACGCAUUAAGCACUCCGCCUGGGGAGUACGGUCGCAAGACUGAAACUCAAAGGAAUUGACGGGGGCCCGCACAAGCAGUGGAGCAUGUGGUUUAAUUCGAAGCAACGCGAAGAACCUUACCAGGACUUGACAUCCCAUAGACCAGUCUAGAGAUAGACUUUCCCUUCGGGGCUGUGGUGACAGGUGGUGCAUGGUUGUCGUCAGCUCGUGUCGUGAGAUGUUGGGUUAAGUCCCGCAACGAGCGCAACCCUUACUUUGUGUUGCCAGCAUUCAGUUGGGCACUCACAAGGGACUGCCGCCGAUAAGGCGGAGGAAGGUGGGGGUGACGUCAAAUCAUCAUGCCCCUUAUGUCCUGGGCUACACACGUGCUACAAUGGGCGGUACAACGGGAUGCGAAGCCGCGAGGUGGAGCCAAACCCUGAAAACCGUUCGUAGUUCGGAUUGUAGGCUGCAACUCGCCUACAUGAAGCCGGAAUUGCUAGUAAUCGCGGAUCAGCAUGCCGCGGUGAAUCCGCUCCCGGGCCUUGUACACACCGCCCGUCACACCACGAGAAUGGGCAACACCCGAAGUCGGUGGGGUAACCUUUACGGGAGCUAGCCGCCGAAGGUGGGGCCUGUGAUUGGGGUG